AUGCCACUAGAAUAAAGUGGGAUUGGCAUUGACUAGUUCGGCUCUACAGAUUUCCAAAGCAAAAAACAAAAUCCUGCCUUAUCUAAACACUAUUUUUAUUGCACAUCAUUGAACAAUAUAUAGACCCGCACAUUUUUCUCCUUCCGCGUGUGAUUAUUACCAACUGGUGGUGAUCCCACCAACUUAUUUUCUGUUACAAAGUAUGCCAACCGUGAAUGAAUUCUCUCAUUCUGCUCUAAGUGAUGAACUCCCCUGAACCCAAGAUUACGUUCACCAAUAGGGAUUUGGUGCAAGGA
rnacentral:misc_RNA from 1 species